AGAAACAUGCCUUGCUAAAGAAGUCACACCGGAGCAGCUUCCUGUUACACCCUGCAUUAUUGUUGGUGGAACUUCCUGUUAUGCCGCCAAGAUAUUUUUGCUGAGCAUAGAUCAACACAUCGUAAACACUGCAUUACCACCUUCGUCGCUGCCCUUUGUAUGAUGUUUGGAAGCUUCUACUGUUUUAACAUUCAUUAUCCAGUGGAAUUGGCAUCAACACUUGAGUUUCUGCAAAGGUGCCUUAUCAUCUUGGUCAAUGACAUCACUGCCCAGUUCUAGUUGCGAGAGACUGCCACACAUUGAAUGUGCCUUAAAG